CCUACGGGUGGCAGCAGUGAGGAAUAUUGGUCAAUGGCCGGAAGGCUGAACCAGCCAUGCCGCGUGAAGGUCAGUGCCCUAUGGGCGUUAAACUUCUUUUGUGCGGGAGCAAUAAUGGUCACGUGUGGCCAGACGAGAGUACCGUACGAAUAAGCAUCGGCUAACUCCGUGCCAGCAGCCGCGGUAAUCCGGGGGAUGCAAGCGUUAUCCGGAUUUAUUGGGUUUAAAGGGUGCGUAGGCUGGGAGGUAAGUCAGCGGUUGAAUGCCCCCGCGCAACGGGGUGAAGUGCCAUUGAUACUGCCGUGCUGGAGUGCGGAUGCCGUGGGAGGAAUGUGUGGUGUAGCGGUGAAAUGCAUAGAUAUCACACAGAACACCGAUUGCGAAGGCAUCUCACGAAUCCGCGAUUGACGCUGAUGCACGAAAGCGUGGGUAUCAAACAGGAUUAGAUACCCGAGUAGUC
rnacentral:rRNA from 1 species